rnacentral:rRNA from 1 species
CUGGCCUCGGCCCGAGUUGUAAUUUGCAGAGGAUGCUUCUGGCGCGGUGCCUUCCGAGUUCCCUGGAACGGGACGCCACAGAGGGUGAGAGCCCCGUAUGGUCGGACACCAAGCCUGUGUGAAGCUCCUUCGACGAGUCGAGUAGUUUGGGAAUGCUGCUCUAAAUGGGAGGUAAAUCUCUUCUAAAGCUAAAUACCGGCCAGAGACCGAUAGCGCACAAGUAGAGUGAUCGAAAGAUGAAAAGCACCUUGAAAAGGGGGUUAAAUAGUACGUGAAAUUGUUGAAAGGGAAGCACUUGUGACCAGACUUGGGCCGGGCGGCUCAUCAGGGGUUCUCCCCUGUGCACUCCGCCCGGCACAGGCCAGCAUCGGUUCUCGUGGGGGGAUAAGACCGUCAGGAACGUAGCACCCUCCGGGGUGUGUUAUAGCCUGGCGGACGAUACCCCCGUGGGGACCGAGGUUCGCGCUCCGCAAGGAUGCUGGCGUAAUGGUCACCAGUGACCCGUCUUGAAACACGGACCAAGGAGUCGUCCAUUAGAGCGAGCGUUUGGGUGUAAAACCCGCACGCGUAAUGAAAGUGAACGCAGGUGAGAGCUUCGGCGCAUCAUCGACCGAUCCUGAUGUUCUCGGAANGGAUUUGAGUAAGAGUUUUAACGGACGGACCCGAAAGACAGUGAACUAUGCUUGUAUAGGGUGAAGCCAGAGGAAACUCUGGUGGAGGCUCGCAGCGGUUCUGACGUGCAAAUCGAUCGUCAAAUAUGAGCAUGGGGGCGAAAGACUAAUCGAACUGUCUAGUAGCUGGUUACCGCCGAAGUUUCCCUCAGGAUAGCAGUGUUGAUCUUCAGUUUUAUGAGGUAAAGCGAAUGAUUAGGGACUCGGGGGCGCUAUAUAGCCUUCAUCCAUUCUCAAACUUUAAAUAUGUAAGAAGCCCUUGUUACUUAGUUGAACGUGGGCAUUCGAAUGUACCAACACUAGUGGGCCAUUUUUGGUAAGCAGAACUGGCGAUGCGGGAUGAACCGAACGCGGGGUUAAGGCGCCAGAGUGUACGCUCAUCAGACACCACAAAAGGCGUUAGUACAUCUUGACAGCAGGACGGUGGCCAUGGAAGUCGGAAUCCGCUAAGGACUGUGUAACAACUCACCUGCCGAAUGUACUAGCCCUGAAAAUGGAUGGCGCUCAAGCGUACCGCCCAUACCCCGCCCCCAGGGUAGAAACGAUGCCCUGGGGAGUAGGCGGCCGUGGGGG